rnacentral:rRNA from 1 species
GACGAACGCUGGCGGCGUGCUUAACACAUGCAAGUCGAGCGAGGCCCCUCCUUCGGGAGGGUGUCCUAGCGGCGAACGGGUGAGUAACACGUGGGCAACCUGCCCUCAGCUCUGGGAUAACUCCGGGAAACCGGGGCUAAUACCGGAUACGACCUCCACGGGCAUCUGCGGAGGUGGAAAGUUUUUCGGCUGAGGAUGGGCCCGCGGCCUAUCAGCUAGUUGGUGGGGUAGUGGCCUACCAAGGCGACGACGGGUAGCCGGCCUGAGAGGGCGACCGGCCACACUGGGACUGAGACACGGCCCAGACUCCUACGGGAGGCAGCAGUGGGGAAUAUUGCGCAAUGGGCGAAAGCCUGACGCAGCGACGCCGCGUGAGGGACGAAGGCCUUCGGGUUGUAAACCUCUUUCAGCAGGGACGAAGCGAAAGUGACGGUACCUGCAGAAGAAGCACCGGCCAACUACGUG